rnacentral:tRNA from 1 species
UAGUAUAGUGGUUAGUACAGCUCGUUGUGGCCGAGCAGACCCAGGUUCGAUUC